GGCCCGGUAGCGGACGGCCCGCACCUGUUUUCAAUUCUCAUUCAGGGACAGAAUGAAGUCAGCAGGGGACGCUCAUUCGACUCGAGCCUGGGCCA